CACGGGGUUGCGAGCGUUGUCCGGAAUUACUAGGCGUAAAGGGCAGGCAGGCGGAUCCAUAAGUUUAUCGUUUAAGGCGUCGGAUUAACCGGCGUAGGGCGGUAGAUACUGUGGAUCUGGAAUGCGGUUGGGGAAGACAGAAUUCCUGGUGUAGCGGUGGAAUGCGCAGAGAUCAGGAGGAAUACCGAAGGCGAAGGCAGUCUUCCAAGCCGUUAUUGACGCUCAACUGCGAAGGUGUGGGUAUCAAACAGGAUUAGAUACCCCUGUAGUCCCUGA
rnacentral:rRNA from 1 species